GCAGGUAUCGCGUAAUCGGCUAACGCACUGCUUUGCCUGAGCGGGGUUACGGGUUCGAGUCCCGUUACUUGCU
rnacentral:tRNA from 1 species